rnacentral:lncRNA from 10 species
ACAGAUGGACCGUUAAGCCAGCCCAGGGGACGGCAGAGCAGCCUGAGGGAGCAAGAACUGUCACCACGGUCUGCCCGCGAAGCACUGAGGUGAUGCUGGGGUUGCAGUGAGCUGUCAAACUAGAUGUGUCAGAAAUGAGAAAGGAGAUGAGAGAACAAAUUAGAAUACAGAGUGAUCGACACUUUGAUGAAGGAAGUAAGUGGAGCCUGGGGUCCAUGAAACCCACUGCCAAACCAACCCAGACAGACUCAGUGUGACAUUACAAGCAUCCUGGGUGGAACUGCAAGACAUAGUUAUUUCAAGAUUAUGAAGAGUGUGGUAGCCAAACUCCAAGAUGGCCGCAUGAUCCCUCCUCCAGGUACUCGUGCCCUUGUAUGGUAUGCUCCCACAGUCUUCCGAGGAUUCCGUUGUAUGACUGAUCGAAUACAGCAGAGGCGAUGGCAUAGGACAUCUGAGGCUACAUCAUCUAAGGGAUACACAGGAAUUCACUCCCAUCCUCCCAUGUGGCUUCUACUUUGCUCUUAAUCUCUCAGAUCUCUCACCCUGGCAGACACCAUCCACCAUGUCCUGAGGACACUCAAGCAGCUCUGUGGCCUCCUGACAAUAGCUGUUAGGUGAAACACCUUGGGUGCAGACCCUCUAGCCCCACUCCAGCCUUCAGAAGACAGCAGCCCCAGCUCACAUGGGACCCUGAGCCAGACCACCAAGCAAACCACUCCCAGAUUCCUGACCCACAGAAACU